rnacentral:tRNA from 10 species
CAGGCGUGAGCCACCGCGCCCGGCCUGUUUAAUUUCCUAAUGUUUACUGAGACUCUUCAAGAGUGGGAGAGGGAUAUAAUAUACAGCAUUUCCUCAGUUUAUUUAGCCACUGAAUUUAUUUUUUGUAAGCAUCUCAAGGAACUUGAGCCCAAAUUUUGCAAAACUGCAUGUAAUAUACAAUGUUGCUUUUGUUUGCCUUUUCCAGCUACUGUAAGAGAAUAUUUAAAUUAUUUUAUCUCACUUAGAAACAUUUUUAAAUUGAGAUAUUGAGAACUUGAUUUGCCCAAGGUCAUAAUCAGUUAAUAUUGGAAUCAGAAUGAGAAUCUAGGUCUGGCCACAAUUUCAGGUGUCUUCUUUUAAAGUUAUUUAUUUUUAAACACUUUUUUUUUUUUUGAUACAGGAUCUCACUCUGUCACCCAGGCUGGAGUGCAGUGGCAAGAUCGAAGCUCAUUAUAGCCUCGACCUCCCCAGGCUCAGGAGUCACUCAGAAUCCAGCCACCUUGGAUAUGAGGAAGCAGAGCAACCUCAUGGAGAAACCACAACCUAAAAAUCUUGAAAGGAAAGAGAAAGAACUAACAUUUUCGUGACUGAGAACUGGAUGGUGACAAAUGAGAAAAUAAACACAGUAAAGACAAGUUUGGGGGGGUGACAGAGCAGAGCGAGUUGUGAUCCCCGCUCCGUCACCACGUUCGUUUCGUUCCUCUGGACUACUGAGUUAAUGAUACCGGCAAUCAGCGCAAAGCGAGAUAAUCACCAGCGCACUCUUGGAUCUGUAUACAGGUUUGUAAACUAUGUGGAGGAAACCGACCCAUCGCAGUCUCGGCCGAAGAGGCCGGAGCCGGAGCCAGAGCCAGAGCCUGAGCAGGGUCUGAAAAAAGGACCGGCCGUUCAGGACUAGGCCCUGAACUACAACUUGCUCCUCAGGGGUCCGGGUCGGAAGUGACGACUUCAUUCACUGAGCAGCCAUUUCCGGUUCCCAGUGUGUCCGAAGUUCCUUCUGGGUGUCAGAAAAGACACAAAAACUGACAGGGCGGAACCGCGACACGGUGCCUGAUGAUAUCAAAAGGUCUCACGGCUCCGGAGGGACCCAGUCGCCCACAGCCGCCAGGGGCGCCGCCGGCUCCGAGCCCGUUGUCGAGAGCCGCUCGGCUGCUGGGGUCUGCCCUUCAGUCCUUCCAACUCUCCUCGGACCUAGAGUUCCGGGAUCUCACUGCGAUCUGGGCGAAUUCUUACGUAGAAUUCGAAAGGAUAUGGGGAAGGAAAAAAACAAAAACGGGAACCACUUUGUUUCCGCCCGGUUUCGAACCGGGGACCUUUCGCGUGUGAGGCGAACGUGAUAACCACUACACUACGGAAACCAGGCGGUGGCAGGUUUUCCACAAAUGACUCUGAAAAGUCAGAGGCUCACCACUGUGUCUCUGACCCACGAGAAAAGUACCCGGGCGGGCCACCCACAGCUUCGGGAUCGGGGCGCGCAGGGAAGUAGCCAGCAAAGCAGGAUCCUAUUCCUGAUCUCUAAAUAUGCCCCUCACCAGUGCAGAGGGAGGAGCAGUCAGAGCCUGGGAGACUUGCCUACCUGGAGCUGCACCCAUCUUUGAGGCCUUGCUCUGUUUCCUGGAACCUGAAAUGGAUUUACCUAUUCUACACAUUUCAUAGAAAUGAAAUCACAUAAUGUGUCACAUUUUGUCUGGCUUCUCUCACUUGGCAUAAUAUUUUUGGGUUCAUUCAUGUCAUAGUAUGUACUUCAUUUCUUCUUAUGGCUAAAUAACAUUUUAUGUAUAUACCACAUUUCCUUUAUCCAUUCAUCUGUUGAUGGGCAUUUUGGUUGUUUCCACCUUUUGGCUGUUGUGAAUAAUGCUGCUAUGAACAUUUAUGUACAAGCAUUUGUUUGAGCAUCUGUUUUUUAUUUUUUGGGGUUAUCUAUUUAGUAGUGGAAUUACUAAGUCACUUAUAUUCCCACCAGCAUAGGUAAAUCUAUAGGAACAGAAAGCAGAGUAAUGGCUGCCAGGGGCUGGGGAAUGUGGAGUAAUCACAUAAUGAUAUGGGGUUUUACUUUCUUUUGAUGAAAAUGUUUUGGAACUAGAUUGAGAUGGUGGUUGCAUAACCGUGUGAACAUACUUAAUGCCACUGAAUUUGUUUAAGAUGGCUUCAUUUUUCUUCACAUUUCUGCCUAUGCUUUAUAUUUUCUGUUGUUUUAAAAAUUAUAGCCAUCCUAGUGGGUGUGAAGAUACCACUACACAUAAAUUAGAAUGUCUAAAAUUAAAGAGACAGACUAUAUGCAGUGGACUGAAUGUUUGCACACACACCCCAAGUUCAUAUGUUAAAAUUCUAACUCCCAAGGUUAUGAUAUUAUGAGGUGGGGCUUUGGGGAGAUAAUUAGGUCAUGAAGGUGGAGCCUUCAUUAAUAGGAUUAGUGUCCUUAUAAAAGAGACCCUCACCAUGUGAGGCUUCUUAAAAGACUGCUUUCUGUGAGAAAACAGGCCCUCACCAGAAACCACAUGUGCAAGCACCUUGAUCUUGGACCUCCCAACUUCCAGAACCAUGAGAAAUAAUUUUUGUUGCUUAUAAGCCACCCAGUCUAUGGCAUUUUGUUAUAGCACCUGAAUGGACUGAGAGAUCAUACGAAACAAAAAAGAGGACAUGCUGUAUGAUUUCAUUUACAUAAAACUCUAGGCAAUGCCAACUUAUCUAUAUUGACAAA